rnacentral:rRNA from 1 species
UACACACCGCCCGUCACACCAUGGGAGCUGACUCAACCAGAAAACGGACUCAUUAACCGCAAGGGGAUGAUCGUUGAAGGUGGGGUUGGUGACUGGGGUG